GCCGGGGUGGUGGAAUUGGUAGACACGCUACUUUGAGGGGGUAGUGGGGAGACCCAUGCGGGUUCAAAUCCCGCCCCCGGCA
rnacentral:tRNA from 1 species